rnacentral:rRNA from 1 species
AUUGAACGCUGGCGGCAUGCUUUACACAUGCAAGUCGAACGGCAGCGCGGGCUUCGGCCUGGCGGCGAGUGGCGAACGGGUGAGUAAUAUAUCGGAACGUACCAAGAGUGGGGAGUAACGUAGCGAAGUUACGCUAAUACCGCAUACGAUCUAAGGAUGAAAGCAGGGGAUCGCAAGACCUUGUGCUCCUGGAGCGGCCGAUAUCUGAUUAGCUAGUUGGUGAGGUAAAGGACUCACCAAGGCAACGAUCAGUAGCUGGUCUGAGAGGACGACCAGCCACACUGGAACUGAGACACGGUCCAGACUCCUACGGGAGGCAGCAGUGGGGAAUUUUGGACAAUGGGGGCGAACCCUGAUCCAGCAAUGCCGCGUGAGUG